GCUAUCAAAAUAGAAUCAUCUGAAUGAUCUUUCUUGGACAUACAUUUUGAAGUGACCCUUCGAAUUAAAAAGGUUCCUCAGCUGCUUUUGAGGAAAAACAUCAAUGUGCUUGGCCACUCUGGUUUUUAAAUGGUAUUCUGAACUAAAGCAAGGAUUGUUGAAAGUUAGUUGAAAAUAGACCGUCUCUGGUUAAAUUAGUUCUACACCAAGCCUUUAGGUGGCAGUAAAACGAAUUGGCACAAUGCGAAUUCCACACACAAGCCACAAAGAAGCCAUCACCCGCGGUCAACAGCACCUUCCUGAUUGAACAGAACCACGCGUUGUCUGUGUGGUUUACAAGUUUCUUGGCGAUAUGGGGGGAAAGUUCCUCACAUACCAACGGAAAAUGGGAUUCAUAUACAUGCUGCUGUCUCAUAAUAUGGCGAAGACGAGUCACCUGAAGGCCUAACUCGCCAUAGAAGACUGAAAGAAUUGUCCUGCAGGAUGCUGUGUCCUGCAAUCCUGUGUGCUGUGCUACAGACGCGUGUGGAGGUCAACCCAAAAUGGGCACAGUCUCACCACAGAAGAGUGAAAGAGGAUCCUGGCAGGGAGACGGUAGUGUCCUGCAGAAUGGUGAUGGGCCAAUCUUACAAGAGACCACAGACAACUGAUAUAGUGAACUAUAGAAACAACAGUGCCUGCUGCAGUAUAACGAGGACACCCUGAGCAGAGAGCUCCAAUAGACCCAGGUCCAGUGUCUUGGCAGGGUGAAAUGGCACUGAUAUGGUGUCCUGCAGGAUGCUGUGUCCUGCAAUCCUGUGUGCUGUGCUACAGACGCGUGUGGAGGUCAACCCAAAAUGGGCACAGUCUCACCACAGAAGAGUGAAAGAGGCUCCCAGAAGUGAGACUGAGUGCCUGUUGCAGUAUGACGAGGACGCAGUGACCAGAGACCUUCAGUAGACCCUGCUGGCAUGAUUGGCGUCUGAAGAACAUGAAAUCAACAGCAAUGUUUAUAAUGUUGUACAUACCUGUAUAGUCUGUAUUAAAAGGCAGUACCUGUA